GACGAACGCUGGCGGCGUGCCUAAUACAUGCAAGUCGAACGAGAGCGACCGGUGCUUGCACUGGUCAAUCUAGUGGCGCACGGGUGAUUAACACGUGGGUAACCUGCCCAUCAGAGGGGGAUAACAUUCGGAAACGGAUGCUAAAACCGCAUAGGUCCUUUAACCGCCUGGUUGAAGGAGGAAAAGAGGCGCAAUCUUCUGCUUAUGGAUGGACCCGCGUUGCAUUAGCUAGUUGGUGGGGUAACGGCUCACCAAGGCCGGGAUGCAUAGCCGACCUGAGAGGGUGAUCGGCCACAUUGGGACUGAGAAACGGCCGAAACUCCUACGGGAGGCAGCAGUAGGGAAUCUUCCGCAAAGGACGCAAGUCUGACGGAGCAACGCCGCGUGAGUGAAGAAGGUUUUCGGAUCGUAAAACUCUGUUGUUAGAGAAGAACAAGUGCUAGAGUAACUGUUAGCGCCUUGACGGUAUCUAACCAGAAAGCCACGGCUAACUACGUG
rnacentral:rRNA from 1 species